UGGGGAAUUUUGGACAAUGGGGGAAACCCUGAUCCAGCCAUCCCGCGUGUGCGAUGAAGGCCUUCGGGUUGUAAAGCACUUUUGGCAGGAAAGAAACGUCAUGGGUUAAUACCCCGUGAAACUGACGGUACCUGCAGAAUAAGCACCGGCUAACUACGUGCCAGCAGCCGCGGUAAUACGUAGGGUGCAAGCGUUAAUCGGAAUUACUGGGCGUAAAGCGUGCGCAGGCGGUUCGGAAAGAAAGAUGUGAAAUCCCAGAGCUCAACUUUGGAACUGCCUUUUUAACUACCGGGCUAGAGUGUGUCAGAGGGAGGUGGAAUUCCGCGUGUAGCAGUGAAAUGCGUAGAUAUGCGGAGGAACACCGAUGGCGAAGUCAGCCUCCUGGGCUAACACUGACGCUCAUGCACGAAAGCGUGGGGAGCAAACAGG
rnacentral:rRNA from 1 species